UACGUAGGGGCCUAGCGUUGUCCGGAUUUAUUGGGCGUAAAGAGCUCGUAGGCGGUUUGGUGAGUCGGGUGUGAAAUCUCCACGCUCAACGUGGAGGAGCCACCCGAUACUGCCAUGACUAGAGUCCGGUAGGGGAGUGUGGAAUUCCCGGUGUAGCGGUGAAAUGCGUAGAGAUCGGGAGGAACACCUGUGGCGAAGGCGGCCCCCUGGGCCGCGCCUGACGCUGAGACGCGAAGGCUAGGGGAGCGAACGGG
rnacentral:rRNA from 1 species